rnacentral:rRNA from 1 species
AACGAACGCUGGCGGCAUGCCUAACACAUGCAAGUCGAACGAGACCUCCGGGUCUAGUGGCGCACGGGUGCGUAACGCGUGGGAACCUGCCCUUAGGUUCGGAAUAACUCCCCGAAAGGGGUGCUAAUACCGGAUAAUGUCUUCGGACCAAAGAUUUAUCGCCUUUGGAUGGGCCCGCGUUGGAUUAGCUAGUUGGUAGGGUAAAAGCCUACCACGGCGACGAUCCAUAGCUGGUCUGAGAGGAUGAUCAGCCACACUGGGACUGAGACGCGGCCCAGACUCCUACGGGAUGCAGCAGUGGGGAAUAUUGGACAAUGGGCGAAAGCCUGAUCCAGCAAUGCCGCGUGAGUGAUGAAGGCCUUAGGGUUGUAAAGCUCUUUUACCCGGGAUGAUAAUGACAGUACCGGGAGAAUAAGCUCCGGCUAACUCCGUG